UACGUAGGGUGCGAGCGUUAAUCGGAAUUACUGGGCGUAAAGCGUGCGCAGGCGGUUCGUUGUGUCCGAUGUGAAAGCCCCGGGCUUAACCUGGGAAUGGCAUUGGAAACUGGCGAGCUUGAGUGCGGCAGAGGGGGGUGGAAUUCCGCGUGUAGCAGUGAAAUGCGUAGAGAUGUGGAGGAAUACCAAUGGCGAAGGCAGCCCCCUGGGAUAAUAUUGACGCUCAUGCACGAAAGCGUGGGGAGCAAACAGG
rnacentral:rRNA from 1 species